UAACACUAUCGCGGUCGGCGCGAAAAUUUUUCAUUUCGGAUUUCUAAAGUGCGUAGAAAAUUCUCCGAUCGAGACAGUGGGUGGUUCCGUGGAAAAUUGAUUUUUACAUAGUUUUUAUACCAGCUUUUCACAUAGUUUUAUAGUUCAAUUAAACCUAUUUAAAUCUAAAAGUAUCAAGAUGUCACAACUGAUGAAGAAAAGAUUUCCAUCGAUUACCAGCAUUGAUGUACAGUCUGACGGAAAUACGUCAUUCUUGCGCGCUGCCCGAAAUGGCCAAUUGGACAAAGUUCUAGAACAUCUGAAAUCAAAUAUCGACAUAAAUACUAGC
rnacentral:lncRNA from 1 species